rnacentral:rRNA from 1 species
CAUGCAAGUCGAACGGCAGCAUGAUCUAGCUUGCUAGAUUGAUGGCGAGUGGCGAACGGGUGAGUAAUACAUCGGAACGUGCCCUGUAGUGGGGGAUAACUAGUCGAAAGAUUAGCUAAUACCGCAUACGACCUGAGGGUGAAAGUGGGGGACCGCAAGGCCUCAUGCUAUAGGAGCGGCCGAUGUCUGAUUAGCUAGUUGGUGAGGUAAAGGCUCACCAAGGCGACGAUCAGUAGCUGGUCUGAGAGGACGAUCAGCCACACUGGGACUGAGACACGGCCCAGACUCCUACGGGAGGCAGCAGUGGGGAAUUUUGGACAAUGGGCGAAAGCCUGAUCCAGCAAUGCCGCGUGUGUGAAGAAGGCCUUCGGGUUGUAAAGCACUUUUGUCCGGAAAGAAAUGGCUCUGGUUAAUACCUGGGGUCGAUGACGGUACCGGAAGAAUAAGGACCGGCUAACUACGUGCCAGCAGCCGCGGUAAUACGUAGGGUCCAAGCGUUAAUCGGAAUUACUGGGCGUAAAGCGUGCGCAGGCGGUUGUGCAAGACCGAUGUGAAAUCCCCGAGCUUAACUUGGGAAUUGCAUUGGUGACUGCACGGCUAGAGUGUGUCAGAGGGGGGUAGAAUUCCACGUGUAGCAGUGAAAUGCGUAGAGAUGUGGAGGAAUACCGAUGGCGAAGG